rnacentral:tRNA from 1 species
UAAAUGAAAGCCAUUAGGCACCUAACUGUUAAUUAGAACCCUGCUAUUCUCUUAGCUCAUUUAA